UAACUAUUCAGUUCAGUUUCAGUUAGAGUACUUGAGUACCGCUCUCGACGACGCUGCGCUUUCACACCGACUGAACGCUGAGUCGGCGCGGCGACUCCAUUUAUACGCUGCUAACGAUCGAUCGCCACUCAAACACGCUCCGUGCUCGCACGCUCCAAAAUACGUCACCGGAGAUUUCAGCCAACUAGCCAACGGGCCAGCUAGUCAGCAGGCACUCCAUGAAAAGCACUCUCCACUGCAAAAUCCGGCGGACAGAGAAAUUCCCCAGAACCAGACCACUUGCCCGGUUCGUGGACAGCCCGUGGGGUGGGCGUUGUGGCAGAGAUAUCCGUAAAAUCGAAUCUUAUCGAAGUCAUCUUUAGAUUACCCGACUUGUCAGGGACUCCGUGUACGAAGUGUACAUAUGUACGCGUAGAUGGGAAAGACAUCGCGCCCAAGUCAAGUGGCCGGACCUCGCACCCAAUCAAAGGAGGCUCAUUUGUUGAUCUUGACAUAAUGAUAUAUUCUAUGGUAUCAAUCCCGAGGGCGAUGCGAACGGCAUGCAAUCCACCAGCCGCACCGAAAUGGGCCAAUGGAAAAUUUACAGCCGGCUAACUGGGGGUCUUCAGCUUUGCGAGUGAAUGAAACUUUUUUGGUAAACACAGAUUGAAUUAUUGGGCGUCAAGGGAAACCCCGAUCAACAAAAAAUAAAAUACGAAAAAUAC
ensembl:ncRNA lncRNA:CR43418 long non-coding RNA:CR43418